AACGAACGCUGGCGGCGUGGAUAAGACAUGCAAGUCGAGCGGGAACUUUCGCUGUAGCAAUACAGUGAAAGUUCUAGCGGCGAACGGGUGCGUAACACGUGGACAAUCUGCCUUAAAGUGGGGGAUAGGCUCGGGCGAAAGCCGAAUUAAUACCGCAUGUGAUGAGAGACGACAUCGUCUUGAAAUCAAAGCCGGGGCAACCUGGCGCUUUUUGAGGAGUCCGCGGCCAUCAGCUAGUUGGUGAGGUAACGGCCCACCAAGGCUAUGACGGGUAGCUGGUCUGAGAGGACGACCA
rnacentral:rRNA from 1 species